UGCCAGCCGCCGCGGUAAUACGGAGGGUGCAAGCGUUAAUCGGAUUCAUUGGGCGUAAAGGGCGCGUAGGCGGAAAUGUAAGUCAGGUGUGAAAUCCCGGAGCUCAACUUCGGAACUGCACUUGAAACUACAUUUCUUGAGGAUAGGCAGAGAAAACGGAAUACCAUGUGUAGCGGUGAAAUGCGUAGAUAUAUGGUGGAACACCCGUGGCGAAGGCGGUUUUCUGGCUUAUUCCUGACGCUGAGGCGCGAAAGCAAGGGGAGCGAACAGGAUUAGAUA
rnacentral:rRNA from 1 species